CGGGACGUAGCGCAGCCUGGUAGCGCGCCUGAAUGGGGUUCAGAAGGUCGUGAGUUCAAAUCUCACCGUCCCGACCA
rnacentral:tRNA from 2 species